AAGGAGUCUAACAUAUAUGCGAGUACUGGGGUGGCAAACCCUUAUGCCAAAUGAAAGUGAGUACGAGUGGGAUCCCGCAAGGGCGCACCAUUGACCGAUCUUGAUAUCUCUUGAUAGAUUCGCGUUAGAGCGUAUCUGUUAGGACCCGAAAGAUGGUGAACUAUGCCUGGAUAGGAUGAAGCCAGGGGAAACUCUGGUGGAGGUCCGAAGCCGUACUAACGUGCAAAUCGAUGGUAAAAUAUGGGUAUAGGGGCGAAAGACUAAUCGAACCAUCUAGUAGCUGGUUCCCUC
rnacentral:misc_RNA from 1 species